UACGUAGGGUGCGAGCGUUGUCCGGAAUCAUUGGGCGUAAAGAGCUCGUAGGCGGUUCGGCAAGUCACGUGUGAAAUCUCCACGCUUAACGUGGAGGCGCCACGUGAAACUGCCGUGACUCGAGUCCGGUAGGGGAGUGUGGAAUUCCCAGUGUAGCGGUGAAAUGCGCAGAUAUCGGGAGGAACACCAGUAGCGAAGGCGGCACUCUGGGCCGGUACUGACGCUGAGGAGCGAAAGCGUGGGGAGCGAACAGG
rnacentral:rRNA from 1 species